rnacentral:rRNA from 1 species
AGAGUUUGAUCCUGGCUCAGGACGAACGCUGGCGGCGCGCCUAACACAUGCAAGUCGAACGAGCGAGAGAGAGCUUGCUUUCUCAAGCGAGUGGCGAACGGGUGAGUAACGCGUGAGGAACCUGCCUCAAAGAGGGGGACAACAGUUGGAAACGACUGCUAAUACCGCAUAAGCCCACGACCCGGCAUCGGGUAGAGGGAAAAGGAGCAAUCCGCUUUGAGAUGGCCUCGCGUCCGAUUAGCUAGUUGGUGAGGUAACGGCCCACCAAGGCGACGAUCGGUAGCCGGACUGAGAGGUUGAACGGCCACAUUGGGACUGAGACACGGCCCAGACUCCUACGGGAGGCAGCAGUGGGGAAUAUUGCACAAUGGGGGAAACCCUGAUGCAGCGACGCCGCGUGGAGGAAGAAGGUCUUCGGAUUGUAAACUCCUGUUGUUGAGGAAGAUAAUGACGGUACUCAACAAGGAAGUGACGGCUAACUACGUGCCAGCAGCCGCGGUAAAACGUAGGUCACAAGCGUUGUCCGGAAUUACUGGGUGUAAAGGGAGCGCAGGCGGGAAGACAAGUUGGAAGUGAAAUCCAUGGGCUCAACCCAUGAACUGCUUUCAAAACUGUUUUUCUUGAGUAGUGCAGAGGUAGGCGGAAUUCCCGGUGUAGCGGUGGAAUGCGUAGAUAUCGGGAGGAACACCAGUGGCGAAGGCGGCCUACUGGGCACCAACUGACGCUGAGGCUCGAAAGUGUGGGUAGCAAACAGGAUUAGAUACCCUGGUAGUCCACACUGUAAACGAUGAUUACUAGGUGUUGGAGGAUUGACCCCUUCAGUGCCGCAGUUAACACAAUAAGUAAUCCACCUGGGGAGUACGACCGCAAGGUUGAAACUCAAAGGAAUUGACGGGGGCCCGCACAAGCAGUGGAGUAUGUGGUUUAAUUCGACGCAACGCGAAGAACCUUACCAAGUCUUGACAUCCUGCGACGCACAUAGAAAUAUGUGUUUCCUUCGGGACGCAGAGACAGGUGGUGCAUGGUUGUCGUCAGCUCGUGUCGUGAGAUGUUGGGUUAAGU